UCUUCUGUCUGGUUCAGUGCCUGGUCACAGCGAGUUUUCCUGGCACAAGUGAGUGGAAAGAGCACUUUGGCAUGGAGAGGAAAUGAGCAGCACAGGGUGAGAGGUGUCCUGGCAAGCACUUCCCAUUUGUGUCCUUACCUCCCAGUCCCCAGCUGUCUGUAAAGGCUUCCCAGCUACUGUGUCCUGCAAGUUCAAAACCCUGCAGCCACUGGGCCUGGAAAUGUGUGAAGGAGCACAAGAAUUGGAGUUAAAUGACAGUGUGGCUGCCUGGCUGUUACAAUUUAUCAUGAACGCAUCUCACUUCACUUAUGGCUCCUCUGACGGAAGGAACAGCCGGUCUCCGGGAGGUCAAAGACAUUAUUUUCCCCUAGUCUUUCUCAGUUUCCAGCACAUAUUUGUCACUUUGAAAAAGCAUGAAUUCUGGAUUUGAUGCACUUUAAUUGAUUUCACCCUCAACAAGUCCAACUGUCCAUCAACCUUUCCUUUUUCUUUCCUCUGUCCCUUUGCUUUGAAAGUGAUGUUUUCACCCGCCUGCAUGUUGGAGCUGUUGCAAAGCCUAUGACCCUAGCAAGGCUUACUGUCACUAGCCAUUGCUCUCAUUUUCCUUUUCCUCCAAGCUGAACUUUGGAUGCUGAAUGAGAAUGAAGUGGGAGUACUGGUCUUGUAAUAUCUCAGUGAUGUGCUCCUUGUCAAAGUGAAAGUGGUGACGAUGGCCCACUUUUGAGACAACUGUGUAAAUUGGAAAUGUGAGGGAAUUAAUUCAGUAUAUGCUGGCGUUGGUAUUUAAAACAAUCUGCAGUGUUAUGGCAGAGGUGAAUGUGCUGUUUUCUUUGCUCCUGGAAGGAUGUGUAUUCCCAGUGCUGUGCAUAUAUCCAGGGUUGUGUGGUUGUAAAUUCGAUGUGUAAAGUGGCAUUGUCACCUCAAAUGGAGAUCAAAGAAUCAUAGAGCAUCCUGAGUUGCAAGGAGUCCACAAGGACCAUCCCAAAAAUCCUAUAAGGUGCCAUUGCACUCUUGUCUGGUGAGUUCUUCUGGCAUAAGUGACAAUACAGAAUAAAUGUGGGUGUGUAACAACUUGUCCUUUGCACAGAAAUCCUUAGAGUGUGUCCUGGAAACUGGCGACUGCUUAUAGUGGAAGCUGGAAGAGUCACAGGUGU